rnacentral:rRNA from 1 species
CUCAACCUGGGAAUGGCAUCCGGAACUGUUUGGCUAGAGUGCAGGAGAGGAAGGUAGAAUUCCCGGUGUAGCGGUGAAAUGCGUAGAGAUCGGGAGGAAUACCAGUGGCGAAGGCGGCCUUCUGGACUGACACUGACGCUGAGGUGCGAAAGCGUGGGUAGCAAACAGGAUUAGAUACCCUGGUAGUCCACGCUGUAAACGAUGUCGACUAGCCGUUGGGUCCCUUGAGGACUUUGUGGCGCAGUUAACGCGAUAAGUCGACCGCCUGGGGAGUACGGCCGCAAGGUUAAAACUCAAAUGAAUUGACGGGGGCCCGCACAAGCGGUGGAGCAUGUGGUUUAAUUCGAUGCAACGCGAAGAACCUUACCUACCCUUGACAUCCUCGGAAUCCGCCAGAGAUGGUGGAGUGCCUUCGGGAACCG